CGAUCUUCUGUCGCACGGGCUCUGCAAUCCAGUCUGCUGAUGCCAAAUGGAACCUGACUUCAGCCUUGGAAUUCACUGUGGAUGAAGAGAGGAGCAUGGUUCUCGGAGACUCUUGGGAAGGCCCCCAGCAAAAUCACCCUAUGAAAGCACCCCUGAACUCCAGACACACUACUCCAGAAGCACUUCUGUAGGAAAAUGGAAUUCACGACUCCAGCUGUCCCUGCCUUGGCUUAAGCUGCUGUUGGGAGGUCUGCUGCGAAUACAGCCUGGUUCAUCUGCCUGGAGGGCUCGUGUCAAAGGGAGCUAGUCGCCCUAGGGCUUCUCACCCAAGCUCUCCAUUCAGCAGCAGUGUCCUGCAACCUUUAGUCCUGGAAACCACAAGGCCCAGCAAACAUGGCCUCCUCUGAGGCUCUUUUGGCCUCCAAGCCCAAAGCAUCCUCAUCUGUGCCCCUCCCUGCCUUCAUCUUUGAUCUUAGAAUUAAUGGGGAGAAAAUCCUCAUCCUGCUCACUGGUCUGCAGCUCUGAAGGCCACAGCCUCUUCCCUAAAUUACCCUCCCCAAGUUUCCCCCUUGCUUUUCAAUGCCUCAUCACACUCCUUUGCUGGUCUGUUUCCUCAUGAUCUUUAAACUGAGGUGCCACUGAAAUCCCUCUCUCUCCUCUUUCUCUACCAUAUUUCAUCCUAUGCUGAUGAAAAUGCCAUUUAGAUUGGUGACUCCCAACUUUUGGGUUCAAGUAAACUUUGUUCCAUAUA